rnacentral:rRNA from 1 species
UACAGAGGUGGCAAGCGUUGUUCGGAAUCACUGGGCGUAAAGGGCGCGUAGGCGGCCUGGCAAGUCGGGGGUGAAAUCCUGCGGCUUAACCGCAGGGCUGCCUUCUAAACUGUCAGGCUUGAGCACGGUAGAGGCAGAUGGAAUUCCCGGUGUAGCGGUGGAAUGCGUAGAGAUCGGGAAGAACAUCAGUGGCGAAGGCGGUCUGCUGGGCCGUUGCUGACGCUGAGGCGCGAAAGCGUGGGGAGCAAACAGG